rnacentral:tRNA from 1 species
CAGGGAGACAACAAAAUGUUAAAUAUUAAUUUUGUCACCUUAGGUCGAUCGGUAUCUCACAUUCUUAAUUUAUUUAAGGAUUUUAUUUCCUAAGUUUUUCUAGGUCACACCCAUAAUUUUUCCUGGGCCAUUAGCUCAGGUGGUUAGAGCGCACCCCUGAUAAGGGUGAGGUCCCUGGUUCAAGUCCAGGAUGGCCCAUAUCUCUAUGUUGGGGGUAUAGCUCAGUUGGUAGAGCGCCUGCUUUGCAAGCAGGAUGUCAGCGGUUCGAGUCCGCUUACCUCCACUGAUUACCACCUCUUCCAUGAUUUAUAGAAGGGAAAUUUUUGAGUUGUGAUCAAAUUCUGAACGAAUCUAGCUUCCUAAUAAUUUUAUUAAGACGCUGGACUCAUUGAAUUAAUUUCAUUGUUUUCAGAGAACCUUGACAACUGCAUAGAUUAUUUUUAAAGACAAUAAGCAUCUUUAAUGAUGCAGAUUUAUUAUUUGUGCGAAUGCAUUAAUAACAAUUCUAUUAAGCUGAUGCUUCAAUUUUGAAGUUAUU